UAUUGCACAUGUCCCGGCCAAU
rnacentral:miRNA from 1 species